rnacentral:rRNA from 1 species
ACACUCACCUGCCGAAGCAACUAGCCCUGAAAAUGGAUGGCGCUCUAGCGUCGUGCCUAUACCGGGCCGUCAACGGCACAGUGGGCGUCUGCCUUCGGGCAAGAGCCGUUACGCCUUGACGAGUAGGAGGGUCGCGGCGGUGUGCGCAGAAGGGUCUGGGCGUGAGCCCGCCUGGAGCCGCCGUCGGCGCAGAUCUUGGUGGUAGUAGCAAAUACUCUAGCGAGGGCCUGGAGGACUGACGUGGAGAAGGGUUUCUUGUGAACAGCCGUUGCACAAGAGUCAGUCGACCCUAAGCACUAGGAGAAAUCCGAUGUUGAUGGGUGGCUAUACAAAACCACGUUCUGUUUGUUGCGAACGCUUCCGAUGCCCCCUCCGUUAUNGUGUUAGUACUCCUGACCCGCGGCCAACCGGCCAGGGCUGGAAAAAAGCAUCUUACGGUCGGCAGGGCAAGCGGAGCGCCAAUGAUUCACCUCGAGCGGCCGCACAGAGGUCUGGACACCCGUCACUGAAGUGAAAGGGGCCUUAUCUCUUGUGCAGCUCUCGUGGGGAGGAUGCAGCGUAACAACUGCUCCUGUCGUGCAAAAGGGAAUCCGGUUCCUAUUCCGGAACCCGGCUGCGUAACCGCCACUCUGCGGGCACUCGCCUGCGAGCGCUCGUCGGGGUAACCCAAACUGGCCCGGAGACGCCGGCGGGGGGUCUGGAAAGAGUUUUCUUUUCUUUAUAAGCGUUCGAGUACCCUGGAAUCCUAUAGCAGGGAGAUAGGGUUUGGAACGCGAAGAGCACCGCAGUUGCGGCGGUGUCCGGACUUCCCCCCCGGACCUUGAAAAUCCGGGUGAGGGCUACGCGGAAGUCGCGCCGGAUCGUACCCAUAUCCGCAGCAGGUCUCCAAGGUUAAGAGCCUCUAGUCGAUAGAAUAAUGUAGGUAAGGGAAGUCGCAAAUUGGAUCCGUAACUUCGGGACAAGGAUUGGCUCUGAGGAUCGGGGCGUGUCGGGCUUGGUCGGGAAGCGGGUCAGUGCCAACGUGCCGGGCCUGGGCGAGGGGAAGGGGCGGCUGGUUCGCUGGCCACCUCAUGAUCCGAGCUCGGUCCCGUGCCUUGGCCUCCCGCGGAUCUUCCUUGCUGCGGGGUGUCGGCUGUUCUAGUUGCGGCUGGGCUUCUGCUCGCCGUGGACGGGCCGAAUUUUCCCUUCGGCCGCCAUUCAACGAUCAACUCAGAACUGGCACGGACCGGGAGAAUCCGACUGUCUAAUUAAAGCAAAGCAUUGCGAUGGCUCUAGCUGAGUGUUUACGCAAUGUGAUUUCUGCCCAGUGCUCUGAAUGUCAACGUGAAGAAAUUCAAGCAAGCGCGGGUAAACGGCGGGAGUAACUAUGACUCUCUUAAGGUAGCCAAAUGCCUCGUCAUCUAAUUAGUGACGCGCAUGAAUGGAUUAACGAGAUUCUCACUGUCCCUAUCUACUAUCUAGCGAAACCACUGCCAAGGGAACGGGCUUGGAAAAAUUAGCGGGGAAAGAAGACCCUGUUGAGCUUGACUCUAGUCUGGCACUGUAAGGAGACAUGAGAGGUGUAGCAUAAGUGGGAGAUGGGCGGGCCUCAAAGCUUGUUCAUCGACGGUGAAAUACCACUACUUUCAUCGUUUCCUUACUUACUCGGAUAGGCGGAGAGCGUGUACGCCUAUGGUACAUACCGAGGCGUACCGGUAUUCUCGCGCCAAGCGUCCGAGGGUUGUCGGCACGCGUCUGGCAGGGCUUGGGUCCGCGCGGGAAAGCGGCUUGUUUACCGCAAGGUGGCUUGUCGCCGACCCCCGGCUCUUGUCUGGACUGGGCGCUGUUGACCGGCAAACACUCCCUCGCGUGAUCCGAUUCGAGGACACAGCCAGGCGGGGAGUUUGACUGGGGCGGUACAUCUGUCAAAUGAUAACGCAGGUGUCCUAAGGCCAGCUCAGCGAGGACAGAAACCUCGCGUAGAGCAAAAGGGCAAAUGCUGGUUUGAUCCCGAUGUCCAGUACGCAUAGGGACUGCGAAAGCACGGCCUGUCGAUCCUUUUGGCUUGAAGAGAUUUCAGCAAGAGGUGU